CCCUGGUUAGCUCAGUUGGGGCAGCGCUCCACUGGAAAUGGAGAGGUCCCGGGUUCGAUACCCGGACCAGGCG
rnacentral:tRNA from 2 species